rfam:Gossypium hirsutum cultivar TM-1 chromosome 25, whole genome shotgun sequence
UGUAUAAAAACUUCACCUAUUUGUAUUGUUCAAAAGUGACUUAGCCAACGAAAUAGCCCGAUAAUGAUACGUGACCUAUCAUUUGUACCUCAUGCUAAUGUAUAGUGACAAGUUUUUAACAGUAUAAAUGAAUAGAAUUUUUAAUA